CUUCCUUCUCUUCUCCUUUUCUUCAUCUCCUUUCUGUCUUCCUCCUCCAUCCCUCCCUUGCCACCUGCAGCCCUCCCUCCCUCCUUCUCUCCUACCUGCAAAGGAGAAGAGUUGCUCCGAAGCCUCUCUGCUCAGCCGCUGCACCCAGGAAACGCGAGUGUGCUUGGAAGGAAGGAAGGAAGGAAGGAAGGAAGGAAGGGCGGCUGGCUUGGCGAGUGGGGCCGGCUGGAGCAGGGCAAGGGACGCCGCAGGCCUCGGGUUGCUCUGCACAGCUGGGCCCUGUUUGGUGGAAAUGGGUGGCUGCGGAAGCCUUGAGGACGAGGACGAUCAGGAAUCUUGCCAGAGUUGCAAGCUUAUUGCAACCAAAGCCUUGGCCAAGGUCCACUUCAAGGCAAUUCAAGGGGUGUCACCCAGGAUCCUUGCUGCGGUGCAGCUCCAGCCAUUCACAGCUGCCUUACACUCUCUUUCCAGGCGCAUCAUUCACACCAGAGACUCAUCCCUCAUUUACAGCCUUCAGGACGACUUCAAAAGCAUGGCUGGCCUGGCCAGUGGGGAAGGCUGGGAAACUCUCCCAUGCCAAAAGAAACGCCUUGCACCUUAAAGGCCAUUUGGAUUCUACAAACCUGCUUUCCUGAUUUGAGCAACUUCUCACAUGUGACCCAACCAAUGCUGAGAUGAGAGGUCUUUCAAUGUUUUCCACUGACUGUCUACCUGUGAGAUUCCAACAAUAUAGCAACAAGCUCUUCAUGUGAAAUAUUUGCAUUUCCCCUUUCAAAAAUGUAUAAUAGUGAUGAAGCCUCUUGAGUUAUUUUCUUCAAAAAAUUAAUUACUAUAUUCCAAAAAAAUUACCACAUUGGUGCAAUACAACUAUAUAUAAUAUAUUGUCCCAAUUGCACCAUAGCCUACCAACAAUACAUUUUACUAUUCAUUUUGUGAGAUUUAACUAGUGCUAAAUUCCAUCUAUGAAUAAAUUGGAAUAUACAUUCCCUAUUAAUUUA